UACGUAGGAUGCAAGCGUUGUCCGUAUUUAUUGGGUUUAAAGGGUGCGUAGGCGGCCUAUUAAGUUAGGGGUGAAAACGUUCGGCUUAACCGAAUACCCGCCAUUGAUACUGAUAGACUUGAGUGCGGCAGAGGGUGUUGGAAUGUGUGGUGUAGGGGUGAAAUGCUUAGAUAUCACGCAGAACACCAAUUGCGAAGGCAGAUGCCUAUGUCGUAACUGACGCUGAGGCACGAAAGCGUGGGGAGCAAACAGG
rnacentral:rRNA from 1 species